CGGCGCGGCAGGGGGCGCGGUUACCCGUGGUUUUUCGCGUUGGACGACGGGCUCUGAGGGCCAAGUUCUUGUCACGAAUUUAGUUUGUUUCAGAGCGGCAGGACUCGUAGCUAGAGAACGAGGACCCACGACGCGUACGCGUUACAGUCCUGUUUCCCUAGAAACGGAGCUGCCGGCGCGGAGGUGGCUUUGAGAUUCUGCGAAAGACCUGACUGCUCUUCAACAAUUAUUGUGUUGCACCCUCCCAGGCGCCCAGUCCAAACCCCGUCAGAAUAACCACCCGGGACAGCGGUGGUCGAAGUAACUACGCCUAACUUUUCGCUUUCCAUCGUGUCCCCUCCAUAAAAACACUGCUGGGCCCCCGGAAUCCAAAGGCGAAGGAGGCACACUCCCUGCCUUAGACUUGUUGAGAGUUUUAUAGGGGCAGUGCAUAACGUACAUGAUGGUGUAUGACGAUUCGGAUGGUAGUACGAGUCAUAAACUCAAAUUCCAACAGCAUCCAGCCAGGACUUUUAAAAUUCCUUGCAACGCAAGUCUACUGGUGACAAAUUCCCUCAAAUUUUGUUUGCCUGAGAAAGUCUUUCGCCCUCACUGUUGAAGGAUAAUUUCACUGGAUACAGAAUUCUAG
rnacentral:lncRNA from 1 species